GACGAACGCUGGCGGCGUGCUUAACACAUGCAAGUCGAACGGUAAGGCCCUUCGGGGUACACGAGUGGCGAACGGGUGAGUAACACGUGGGUGAUCUGCCCUGCACUUCGGGAUAAGCCUGGGAAACUGGGUCUAAUACCGGAUAGGACUCCGGACUGCAUGGUCUGGGGUGGAAAGCUUUUGCGGUGUGGGAUGGGCCCGCGGCCUAUCAGCUUGGUGGUGGGGUGAUGGCCUACCAAGGCGACGACGGGUAGCCGGCCUGAGAGGGUGACCGGCCACACUGGGACUGGGAUACGGCCCAGACUCCUACGGGAGGCAGCAGUGGGGAAUAUUGCACAAUGGGCGCAAGCCCGAUGCAGCGACGCCGCGUGAGGGAUGACGGCCUUCGGGUUGUAAACCUCUUUCAGCAUCGACGAAGCGAAAGUGACGGUAGGUGCAGAAGAAGGACCGGCCAACUACGUGCCAGCAGCCGCGGUAA
rnacentral:rRNA from 1 species